AGAGGGGAGUGCGCUUUGCUUUCCCGGGGUCUGAGGCUAAUUCUUCCCCUCUUACCCAUAAACUCAGCUCCUCAAGCUAAAUGCACAAAAGGGAGCGAGAAUUUUGAACCAUUGGAACAAUGAUGUUACGUACAGGAGGUUUAGAGAGGCGAGUGUAAGAGGAAAAAAAAAAAACCAACAAUAAACACUACAGCUCUUUCCAGCUAGAAUAUUAGGCACCACGAGAAAAAUAUUUGCCAAGCAGUUUUCGUCAGUGAUAGGAAGGAGGUGAUCCUUGUGAACUGGGUAGUCUUUAAGCCACUAGGCUCUAUGUGGAUGUGGAAAAUAUUUCAUAACAUCCUGAAGAAGGGACGGAAGGAGGAAGGAAGAAAGGGAAGGACUUAAAGAGAUUUUCCAGGUAAGAAAUACAGAACUGGCUCAAGCAUCACUGCAUAAAAAGUAAUUAUUUGAAGUCAGAGGAAAUAACAGAUGAGGAGUUUGCCCUUAAAAUAUAAAGAAGAGAAAUAAAAAGAAGCCGUUUUGAUCUACCAGACGAAACUUGAAAGCAAUGAAAUAAUAGUUUCUAUCAAUAUUUCCUAUACAUUUUCAAUUUCCAUUCUUUAUAAAAAAAAAAAGGUCUAAAUGUUUUCAGGUCUGAUUGUGGAUGACAUAAGAAGGUUAAGAAAUCUCAUCAUCCUCAGAAAACAACAUCGUGAGCUUCCUCCCCUUAGACUGCCUGGGAUAUUAUACCUAUGAGUAAGCAGGGGUAAAGCCAACUGCCUUGCCACAGUGUAAAACCACUGAGAGGCUAGAACCAGGAGGGUCCUUAGCUUUAUGUAACCCAAUACUACUGAUGUUAUAUCUUUGGAAACUGAGCCCCAGUCAGAACACAUUUGCCACAAGGACUGUCGUUCACAGAGCUGUAUCCAGAACUUUGAUGGCUGGGUUCUAAAUCCACUAUGCUUUUUAAACAGUAUAUUAUGGAAAGAGGAUUACAAUGGGCAGUCUCACAUAAGAGUAUAAGAGUCAUGUGCUGUAGAAUCACAUUCAGAGAAGGCCUCAAAUUUAGACCCUUGACAUUAUCUCCACUGGGUUCGCACAUCAAUCCAAGCGGUCCAUCAACAGGACUGAAAAAAGACCUAUGAGUCCCAGUGCAGGACCAUAGUGUCCUAUAGUACUGUGAUCUAAUGCUGCUCAUAAAUCUUAUGUGUAUGCUGGUGUUAAAAAUGUAAGAUUUGAAAUGUAUUUGGCCUAGAAGAGACAAUAAGCAGCAAGCAUGGCUAAUGCUCAGAUCUGGGUGUCCAAUGCCAUUCCCUGGUAACAGGAACCAAGGCCUCCUGGGAGAAAUGGCUCAGUAGACUGGGCAGGGAGUAUACAAAAUAAGACUGGAACAUCACACAGUACCAUACAGAAGGGAAUUACUGGAACCAAAAUGACAUUGUAGGAGAUGUUUCAAGGACACAAGAGAGCCUCUUGAAGCACUCCCAGGGGCCAAAGGUGGAAUAACUGAGCAACAAAAUAAUUCUAUGUUUGGAUUAUAACCCAGAGUAUAAAAUAAAUAUCCACAAGUCCACAGUGAUAUAAAUAUAUCAUAGGAUAAAUUAAUAAAUAGGCAAGAUGAGACCAAUAUCCCAUGCAGAAGCAUGCCAAGUAAUUUAUAUAGAUACACUGUCUUCUAAGAAGGGAAGCAUAAAUCCUUACUCUCAGCUGUGAGCUGGAUAUAGUAAUGUCCUUCCAAAGAGUUCAGUGUAGAAAAAGAGUAAGAGCAGAGCAACUUAACAAACAAAAACCUGACAAACCCCAUCUCAGCCAGCCAAUCAAAGUCAACGGUGAUAAAUCAUAUUGAUAGUAAAUCCCACUGACAGUCUUCUAAUAAUACUUAAGCUAAUCAUAAGAGAAACUUCAGACAAAUACUAGUAAAGGGGCAUCCUACAAAAUGGUUGACUAACAAUCCUGAAAACCAUCAAGGUCAUCAGAAACAAGCAAAGUCUGAGAAUCUGCCACAGCCAACAAUAGCUGAAGGAGACGUGACAACUUGAUGUAAUGCAAUGCCCCGGAUGCAGUCACAGACCACGAAAAGACACAAGAUAAACUUCAACAAAACUGAAUCAAUGAUGGAUUUUAGUUAAUAAUAAUGCCUCAAUAUUUUUCACUGUUAUAAAUGUACUAAUUUCAGAUGUUAAUAAAGGGGAAACUGGCUGCAGUGUUGUUCUCGGUACCAUUUUAUCAAUUUUCA
ensembl:lncRNA